rnacentral:rRNA from 9 species
GGUUAAGCGACUAAGCGUACACGGUGGAUGCCCUGGCAGUCAGAGGCGAUGAAGGACGUGCUAAUCUGCGAAAAGCGUCGGUAAGGUGAUAUGAACCGUUACAGCCGGCGAUGUCCGAAUGGGGAAACCCAGUGCAAUUCGUUGCACUAUCGUUAACUGAAUACAUAGGUUAACGAGGCGAACCGGGGGAACUGAAACAUCUAAGUACCCCGAGGAAAAGAAAUCAACCGAGAUUCCCCCAGUAGCGGCGAGCGAACGGGGAGCAGCCCAGAGUCUGAAUCAGCUUGUGUGUUAGUGGAACGGUCUGGAAAGUCCGACGGUACAGGGUGAUAGUCCCGUACACCAAAAUGCACAGGCUGUGAACUCGAAGAGUAGGGCGGGACACGUGGUAUCCUGUCUGAAUAUGGGGGGACCAUCCUCCAAGGCUAAAUACUCCUGACUGACCGAUAGUGAACCAGUACCGUGAGGGAAAGGCGAAAAGAACCCCGGCGAGGGGAGUGAAAAAGAACCUGAAACCGUGUACGUACAAGCAGUGGGAGCACCUUCGGGUGUGACUGCGUACCUUUUGUAUAAUGGGUCAGCGACUUAUAUUCUGUAGCAAGGUUAACCGUAUAGGGGAGCCGCAGGGAAACCGAGUCUUAACUGGGCGUUAAGUUGCAGGGUAUAGACCCGAAACCCGGUGAUCUAGCCAUGGGCAGGUUGAAGGUUGGGUAACACUAACUGGAGGACCGAACCGACUAAUGUUGAAAAAUUAGCGGAUGACUUGUGGCUGGGGGUGAAAGGCCAAUCAAACCGGGAGAUAGCUGGUUCUCCCCGAAAGCUAUUUAGGUAGCGCCUCGUGAACUCAUCUUCGGGGGUAGAGCACUGUUUCGGCUAGGGGGUCAUCCCGACUUACCAACCCGAUGCAAACUACGAAUACCGAAGAAUGUUAUCACGGGAGACACACGGCGGGUGCUAACGUCCGUCGUGAAGAGGGAAACAACCCAGACCGCCAGCUAAGGUCCCAAAGUCAUGGUUAAGUGGGAAACGAUGUGGGAAGGCACAGACAGCCAGGAUGUUGGCUUAGAAGCAGCCAUCAUUUAAAGAAAGCGUAAUAGCUCACUGGUCGAGUCGGCCUGCGCGGAAGAUGUAACGGGGCUAAACCAUGCACCGAAGCUGCGGCAGCGACACUAUGUGUUGUUGGGUAGGGGAGCGUUCUGUAAGCCUGCGAAGGUGUGCUGUGAGGCAUGCUGGAGGUAUCAGAAGUGCGAAUGCUGACAUAAGUAACGAUAAAGCGGGUGAAAAGCCCGCUCGCCGGAAGACCAAGGGUUCCUGUCCAACGUUAAUCGGGGCAGGGUGAGUCGACCCCUAAGGCGAGGCCGAAAGGCGUAGUCGAUGGGAAACAGGUUAAUAUUCCUGUACUUGGUGUUACUGCGAAGGGGGGACGGAGAAGGCUAUGUUAGCCGGGCGACGGUUGUCCCGGUUUAAGCAUGUAGGCUGAUUGUCCAGGCAAAUCCGGAUAAUCAAGGCUGAGGUGUGAUGACGAGGCACUACGGUGCUGAAGUAACAAAUGCCCUGCUUCCAGGAAAAGCCUCUAAGCAUCAGGUAACAUCAAAUCGUACCCCAAACCGACACAGGUGGUCAGGUAGAGAAUACCAAGGCGCUUGAGAGAACUCGGGUGAAGGAACUAGGCAAAAUGGUGCCGUAACUUCGGGAGAAGGCACGCUGGUGUGUAGGUGAAGUCCCUGCGGAUGGAGCUGAGACCAGUCGAAGAUACCAGCUGGCUGCAACUGUUUAUUAAAAACACAGCACUGUGCAAACACGAAAGUGGACGUAUACGGUGUGACGCCUGCCCGGUGCCGGAAGGUUAAUUGAUGGGGUUAUCCGUAAGGAGAAGCUCUUGAUCGAAGCCCCGGUAAACGGCGGCCGUAACUAUAACGGUCCUAAGGUAGCGAAAUUCCUUGUCGGGUAAGUUCCGACCUGCACGAAUGGCGUAAUGAUGGCCAGGCUGUCUCCACCCGAGACUCAGUGAAAUUGAACUCGCUGUGAAGAUGCAGUGUACCCGCGGCAAGACGGAAAGACCCCGUGAACCUUUACUAUAGCUUGACACUGAACAUUGAGCCUUGAUGUGUAGGAUAGGUGGGAGGCUUUGAAGCGUGGACGCCAGUCUGCGUGGAGCCAACCUUGAAAUACCACCCUUUAAUGUUUGAUGUUCUAACGUUGGCCCCUGACCGGGGUUGCGGACAGUGUCUGGUGGGUAGUUUGACUGGGGCGGUCUCCUCCCAAAGCGUAACGGAGGAGCACGAAGGUUAGCUAAUCCUGGUCGGACAUCAGGAGGUUAGUGCAAUGGCAUAAGCUAGCUUGACUGCGAGCGUGACGGCGCGAGCAGGUGCGAAAGCAGGUCAUAGUGAUCCGGUGGUUCUGAAUGGAAGGGCCAUCGCUCAACGGAUAAAAGGUACUCCGGGGAUAACAGGCUGAUACCGCCCAAGAGUUCAUAUCGACGGCGGUGUUUGGCACCUCGAUGUCGGCUCAUCACAUCCUGGGGCUGAAGUAGGUCCCAAGGGUAUGGCUGUUCGCCAUUUAAAGUGGUACGCGAGCUGGGUUUAGAACGUCGUGAGACAGUUCGGUCCCUAUCUGCCGUGGGCGCUGGAGAAUUGAGGGGGGCUGCUCCUAGUACGAGAGGACCGGAGUGGACGCAUCACUGGUGUUCGGGUUGUCAUGCCAAUGGCACUGCCCGGUAGCUAAAUGCGGAAGAGAUAAGUGCUGAAAGCAUCUAAGCACGAAACUUGCCCCGAGAUGAGUUCUCCCUGAGACUUUAAGUCUCCUGAAGGAACGUUAAAGACGAUGACGUUGAUAGGCCGGGUGUGUAAGCGCAGCGAUGCGUUGAGCUAACCGGUACUAAUGAACCGUGAGGCUUAACCUUAC